AGAGGAACCGUGCAGCAAUCUGCAAACCCCCAAACCAUCGAACUGCAGUUCAGCAAAUUGGAAAAACAAGAGCAAAAAAAUGUGAGCAGAGGGCCAAAGAAAACGGAGCCCGGGCCCUCGCUGCACAGGGACCCUUCUUUAGACCGCUUUCCUGUUAGACUUUCCCUCAUCGAGACAGUGCGUCACACGCUGAGAGUCUACAAGCCAGGCAGAUGUUAACCCUUUACAGGCCUUUUCCUGAGGAGCUGCACGCACACACACACACACACACUCACACAGUGUCUGCAGGGUCCGCUCUGUUUGGACUGAGCCUCUAACUACUCUCCGUACUCCCCUCAGGCUCUAAUCUGUUUUACAGCACAGAGGGUUUAAUGAUCAGAUUACAGCAGCAGCAGCUCGUCUACCUGGACCAGAAGAAACCAGCUGACACAUGUCACCGCCGUACAGAGCUGCAUGCUAAUACCAUAAUAUGAAGGAAGCAGCACCUCUAACCCCUCUGCUGACUGAGCGUGUGUGUGUGUGUGUGUGUGUGUGUGUGUGUGUGUUGGUAGGGGGCUAGUUAUUAAUCACUGCCUGAGAGCUGACAUCAGGCAGCCAGUAAACGUUAAUUAGGACCACCCAAUGGCCGGGCCAGUGUCAUUAGCUAAUUGAGUUUGUUUAUGUGUUUGUGUUUGUGGGGACAGUUUAAAAAAAGAGAAAGUGUGUGGUGAAGGGGGGAGGCAGGGGGAGGCGGGGGAGGACUUGUCUCAUCCAGCGCCCUGUUGUGGUGACAUGUCCUUCAGCUCAAUCCAUAGGGAGGAAAAGAGAAAGAGCGGGUUAGAAGGAUGGAAAUACAGCCUCCCCUCUCUCUCUCUCUCUCUCUCUCUCUCUCUCCCCCGCCCUCAGCUCGACCACCGCUCCGUCUCAGGAACCCGAGGCCACGGCUGGAAACUCUCUCCACAGGCGAGCCGUGGAAAGAAAGACAUAAAAACCGGCACGGCAGCGUCCUCAGAGCUGUGUUUCAUCCCUCCAUAAACGCUGAUUUCCACAAGAAUGCACGUUUGUGAAAAAUCACACAACCCUCACACACACACACACGCACACAUUAACACACACACAUGUGAGCUCAUGCAGCCUGCAGGCCCUCCCUGGUGUGUGUUUCACACGCCACCUCUGCUCCUCCCCGGGGUGCUCGGCCUGAUGCUGCAGUGUGCAGAGAGCGGCGAUGCCUCAGCAUGGCUGCACGGUCUCAGAUGGCCUGGUGUGGCUGGCUGUGGUUACGCCUGUUGAGUCCGCCUGACCACCACAUGAUGAAUCACAUCCCCGCUCUGUCCAAAAAUGACACACACACAUGCACGCAGGCCGACCCGCCAGAUCCAAACACAGCUCAGAGCGAAGAGAAACAACUGUCCUCCCUCUCUCUCUCUCUCUCUCUCUCUCCCUCUCUCUCGCCCCUCACCGUGUGUGCGUGGAGAUUAAUUUUAACAAGCCAGCGGAGCUCUGAGCAGCAGCAGCAGCAGCAGCAGCGCCGGGCAGGAAAGGCUGAAAAUCCACCAAGGAGCAAAGGGGAGGAGGGGGAAAGCCGAGCCGCAGCCCUCCGCCGCUGUCAGGGUCUCUCUUCUUCUCACUCUGUGAUUUGUGCCCUCGGCCAGGUCCGAUUCAUGUCCCACAGAUAGCUCAGCUCAUGCCCCAGUAGGCUUGUUAGAGCAGUUGAAUGAACGCCUACAUGUAAGGAUUUGGCCCAAAAGCGAGGACAAAAACAACAACAAGAAAGCAAAUCCAGGCGGACAGACGACAAAGUGAGACAUUGCCCGGUUUGUUUUGUAACUUUCUGCUUUUUAUAGGCGGCGCAGCGCAGCGGUCACUGAGAUCAUUGUUGUCUGCUGGUGAAGCUUUUCCAAUUUCAGCCACAGAUACAAAGAAACUCCAUCUGAGGACGCCGUCCAGUUUUCCUCUCCUAGUUUCAGUCUUUGAUUAGAUUUGUUAGCUGACAUGAAACUCAGAGGGUCUGAUUCAUGAGACGAUAUCAACACCUGAAACACUCGUGUUUAUCCCAGUUUGAGUUUCUACUGUCGUCUCUUUAAUUCACCGUAAUAAACAUCCUGUAGACAAAAACUAUGAAAUAUGGCGGCUGAGUUAGUCAGUGGAUUAAAUGGAAACGGGUCAGUAUAAGGAUCAGUAACAUCAAGAUAAUCAAUGUAAUCAGGGUUACACACUCACACCCUCAGAACUGAACCAACGCAGAGACUCAGACUGAGACAGAGCGCACCGACACAGGAAGGACACACCCACAACUCCUUAUAUGGUGCUCAUUGGUCAUUUACAGGUGGAUCACUCAGUCCGUUUCCAUGACACUCCAGAAAACCGAAUUAUCGCCUUAUUCCGAUAAAGACCGGACAACUGAAGGUCAUGUAAACACUUUAGUCCGACUAUAAUCAGAGUUUAAGAACUCGGAUUAAAACACCCAGAUAAUGAGAUUGGAAUUAGAUUUCCUCUACCAUGUAACCAGCGUAGUUGGAGUAUGAAGCCACGCCCCUGUAACCCCGUAACAAACCCCCAGAGUAGAGGAGUAGCGUUGGUCUCCUCUUUAGAAAAAGUAGCGCGUCCAUCAUGUCGGACAAAAACAACGCUGUACGAUGCUCCAUCUUCUUGUUUCUCCAAAAUGCCCAGCAGCAGUUGUAGACACUUCUGACGUCUGACACCGACCUGCUGUUGUUGUUGACGGUUGUACGGGGUCGGAAACAGCGCCGCUGAAAAGACCCGGAGGCAAAAACACCAAAACUUUCUUUAGAUGAGAGAUUCUCCAUCAAAAACAGGAAACGCUCCGAUCAUCUACGGCAGCGUCACAGAUUCAGGAGCUGAGGCUGAUCUUUACCUCAACUCUUUAAAGCUCCUGGAGACAACUCUCAGUGUGCGUUGACUGUGGCGCCCCCUGUGGGGAAACCUGUUAUAGUUAACUGCAUCACAUCUUAGUUUUCAGUCCAAACCGUUCAUCAUCGUCAUCAUGAGUGAAGGUCACUCUGAAGAAGAAGACCGUGAGUCUCUUCAGGUAUCUGGUCCGACACCAAAACCCUCACGGUCGUCUACAGCGGGAGCAGCUGCAGACUCGGGUUCAGGAGCAGAGAUGGUAUUUUGGAAACGUCCUGUUUUCUCUGGCAGGUUCUGGUUCAGAGAUGGGCUGGAAGUUUGGGUUCAGGGGAGUCACAGAGCUCCUUUUUCCCACACUCAUCAUUCUGCAGACUGACACACAGAGUGGGUAACAUGACAUCACAGAAACCAUCCCAGUCAGGACACACACACACACACACACACAUGCAUGCAUGAGUGUAAACGUGUGUGUGUGUGUGUGUGUGUGUGUGUGUGUGUGUGUGUGUGUGUGCGUGUGUGUGUGCGUGUGCAGCUGUCUGGGUCUCAGUUAGUCUGACAGAAAGCUGCCUCUGACUGUGUUCGCUCUACUAUUUGGUGUACUUUCUUACAGCUAAUAGACCACCAGGGAUUCGGCUCAGCCAAUCACCUGCGAGCUUACACUCCUGAGUGAAGAACGGCGCUCUUCCAGUGAGUAAGGUGAGCGACUGAGGUAAUAAAAGAGAGAAACAAUGGGAGGAGAAAAUCAGCCAUCAGGAAGGUAGAUUCCUGUUUCCAUGGCACCUUAGCGUGGUGAAGGAGCCUACCUGCCUCCACCCCCACUCCACCUCUCCCUGCGCCUCACCUUCCCUCCCCUCCAGCACACCUCUUACAUGCCUCGGAGGAGUGUUGGAGCGCUCGGUGGAGCACAUCCACCAGAGAUGCUCCUCAGCCAGGCAGGGGUGGAGAGACACCUCCAGCUGGAUGCUGGGAUCCAGGGAAGAAGCUCUAAAAUUAGCCUCAGCAUGGGGUGCAGGAACGGGGGGGGGUGGGGGUGGAAGAGGAGAAGGAAUGCUGGGAGGCAGCGAAGGGAGGGCGGGUGGAGAGGGUGGUGACAGCACACAUCCACUGAGACGCCUCUCUGCACACUCACCGGGCUGUGGCAAAUUAAAUGUCUGAACUAGCACUUCAUAAACACACACACACACACCUCUCCACACACUAUUACGCAUGUUCAUAACACUGGCUGUCACCCACACACACACACACACAGGAGCAGAGAGCACACACACACACACACACUCAGCACAUCAUUAAAUGAUUUGCUUAUUGUGGGAUCAGUGGGCGUCUUUGCCGGGGCUUAAGCUCCAUGAAUGGUGUGGUGUCAAAUGGGCAUCUGUGUCCCCGUGUCCCACUUAGUCCCCUGCAGAGGAGCCCAACCUGCUGCUCAGUGUGGGAGAGCAGAGGGCAGAUGGGUAGAGUCCGAUUAUAGAGUCGUCUGACCUCUCUCACAGGCAGCUCCCUGUGCUUCGUGCCCAGAGACUCACAGAAAGACUGUUUGUUGUUGGUAUUAGCAGCUAAACGGCUUAACGGUUAGCAGACCUGCUACCAGAGGGUCCGGCACAGACUUGGACCUGCUGCCAGAGUCUUAGACCGGAGGGGAGGGGGGGGGUUAGAGGACACCGUGAGGAGCAGGUCCGCUCAGGUGAAGUCGUCUCAUUACAGCAGGAAAAUACUGAUAAUCAAUGAAAAUGACUUUAACACAAACGGAGGACUCUCAGACUGCAGCAGGAAUGUCUCUGUUAUGGAAAAUGAAUGAAUGAAUGAAUGAAUGAAUGAAUGAAUUUCUAACAUGUAUGCAAAAAAAUCUAACAGAAAAAUGUCCUCCUCCUCCUCCUCCUCCUCCUCCUCCUGGUUCUCAGUCCUCACACUGUCCUCCCAGGGACGGGUCUAGGAUUUUCUGGUGACGGGGGCGAUAGGGGGGCACAGACUUAGUCUAGGGCUGUAAAAUUUAAAUAAUAAAACAAACACUUAAAAUCCAAGAUAACACUGCUGCUUACCCUAAAUGAUAGAGCUGCAGCCAUCGAAUAUUUCAGUAAUCGAGUAUUCUACCAAAUAUUCUACUAGUACUUGGACCCAAACGACAGACUCACAUGAAGUUAGAUCUCCUUUAGCCCCGCAACGAAGGACAGACUCGGAGAAACAGAGGACAAUCGUGGAACAAGCGUGUGUGCAUUAGCGGGUUGCAAUGCUCGUAAGAAAGCUAAUUGUCCCCAAAGACAUUAGUGUCCGAGAGCUGAAGAGCUCCUGUUACCUGCUUCUGCUGCGACACCUGCAACGUUAAGCUACAAGCUAACGUGGAGAGGAGCGUGCAGAGCAGCGCUGACUCCGCCCACAACUCAGAGGCUAUGUGUUGAUGAGCCGCUGGAGCUCUGCAGAAGAAAAAAGUGUCGCCAACUCCUCAGUAAGGAAAGUCGAUAGGUUGGCAACCCUGCAGGAAAAGCCCCUCCCAUCAUUUAUUUUCUCCGCUCCACAAAACCAAAACAGCGCGAACUCC